rnacentral:rRNA from 1 species
UACGUAGGUGGCAAGCGUUGUUCGGAAUUAUUGGGCGUAAAGGGCGCGUAGGCGGUCUUGUAAGUCAGCUGUGAAAGCCCGGGGCUCAACCCCGGAGGGUCGGCUGAUACUGCAGGACUGGAGUACGGAAGAGGUAGCUGGAAUUCCCGGUGUAGCGGUGAAAUGCGUAGAUAUCGAGAGGAACACCUGCGGCGAAGGCGGGUUGCUGGGCUGAUACUGACGCUGAGGCGCGAAAGCCAGGGGAGCGAACGGG